UGGCUGGGGCGCUAUCAAAAGCGAAGCGACAGCCACAUCCAAAGAGAAGGAUGACGAAGAAAACUGUGAAUACGAGAUGGUGUGGGAUGCACAGGGUUCGAUGCAUCUUGUCAAGAAAGCUGCAAUGACAGAUCCGAUCCCGAGACCAGAUGCUGGAUUAGUGAGCAGGGGUAAUGUGGUAGCGCGGUCUGCUGCUAAAAAGCAGAAUGCCCAGGAGGCGGAGACAGCUGUUUUGCUGGAGUUGGG
rnacentral:misc_RNA from 1 species